UAAAACGCGAUGAAAAAGAAAGUAGAGUAACCAUGUACGCUAAAGAGAAUUCCUGCUUGGUGAGAGGGGAUGCGCAUCAAUUACUUGAAAAUGGCUUUUGAGCGGAUUUCCCGACUUUAUGAAGGAAGUACGGUUGUCCCCGUUAACAAGGCACAGUCUCCAAGAUGCAAACUUUUUGGGUACUGAUCGAGAUGAAAUCUGUGAGGAUUUUAUGAUUAAAGGUGGUAACGCAUGUCCAAUGCCCUUAGC
rnacentral:ncRNA from 1 species